GACGAACGCUGGCGGCGUGCCUAAUACAUGCAAGUCGAACGCAGGGGGGACGGGUGAGUAACACGUGGGUAACCUCCCAUCAGAGGGGAUAACACUUGGAAACAGGGGCUAAACCGAUACAGACGGAUGGACCCGCGGUGCAUUAGCUAGUUGGUGAAGUAACGGCGCACCAAGGCCACGAUGCAUAGCCGGCCAGAGAGGGUGAUCGGCCACACGUGGACUGAGACACGGCCCCGACUCCUACGAGAGGCAGCAGUGGGAAAGCUUCGGCAAAGGACCAAAGUCUGACCGAGCAACGCCGCGUGGGUGAAGAAGGUUUUCGGAUCGUAAAACUCUGUUGUUAGAGAAGCGGUAUCUAACCAGAAAGCCACGGCUAACUACGUGCCAGCAGCCGCGGUAAUAC
rnacentral:rRNA from 1 species